CCCCUCUCUCCUAGUAUUUCUGUCCGCCAUCUUUGAUCCAGUUCAGUUCUGUGUAGGGGUACCCCUCUCUCCUAGUAUUUCUGUCCGCCAUCUUUGAUCCAGUUCAGUUCUGUGUAGGGGUACCCCUCUCUCCUAGUAUUUCUGUCCGCCAUCUUUGAUCCAGUUCAGUUCUGUGUGGGGGUACCCCUCUCUCCUAGUAUUUCUGUCCGCCAUCUUAGAUUCAGUUCAGUUCUGUGUAGGGGUACCCCUCUCUCCUAGUAUUUCUGUCCGCCAUCUAUGAUCCAGUUCAGUUCUGUGUAGGGGUACCCCUCUCUCCUAGUAUUUCUGUCCGCCACCUUUGCUGAAGACAGUCUAACAGUCACUAGUGCAGCAGCAGCCUCCCCCGGUCCUAGUGUCGGUCCGGUAAGAAGAUGCGAUGUGAUGGAACGGUUAACGAAAAAAAGAAAUCACAGAAAAAAUAUAUUGACUGGUAUUCAUUUAUUUAGGGGGGGCUAAUUAAUAUUUUAGCACUAGCGUCGUCUCUGAUUCCUACCCUUUAACUUUUUGUCUGAAAAUAAAAUACAAAUUUUACUCAACUGCGUUACCCACUCCAGUCAGCAGAUGGCGGUGUGGGAAUUUAAGGCAAUGCUGCUGGUGUGACGUGUAAUCUAGUGGACGGAACGAUUCUUUCAGCAGCAGCAACAGUUCGUCAGACACCUCGGUAGCUUGCUAGACAAAAUAGCCGAACCAAUAAAGCGCUUUAGACGCUUUAGUGAUUAUUAGUUACUGUGUUUUAAUCCCACUUCUGCCAUCUAGUUAGUUAUCCGAUUUAUUUUAAUAUUUACAGUGUUGUUAUUAGUCAGCUAGCGGGCUGGUUAAGUUAGCAUUAGCCUAGCUAGCUAACAUCCCUGACCAUGCGGUCACUAAGCUACUCUCCUGCUUUAGAAGAGGAGGAUAUCACAGUGAAACAAGAAGUAGAGGGUGAGGCUGUUACUGUGAAAGAAGAGGAAGACGGCGUUCAGAGUGAAAGAGGAGGAGGAUGUUACAAUAAAAGGAGAGGGGGAUGCAGUUUAUGGAGUGAAAGAGGAGGAGUGAGAGAUGACUGUUACAUCGAUAAAGGAGGAGGAAACUGGAUUUCUGGUCCCCGUUUCCCAAACGCAUCUUAAGGCAUCCAAUGGUUCUAAUGAUGAAUUUAGCCAUAAGAUGGUUUUGAGAAACCGUUCCCAGAUUAACACUAAUCUUCUCAGAAAGGAAUCAAGUCCAUGGAAUGGAUAUAGACAAAAAGAUAAGACCUAGCAGAGGUAGAGAGGCGAGGCAGGGGUGAGGACAUCAUCCUGCUAUUUUGACAGUCCUUGAAGGACAAUACAGAAGAGGACUGGAGACCACAGCAGCGAUUCUGCUCUUGCCCAACCUCUUCAAUGAGGACCCCAGUGGCCUUUAUGUCCAUGACAAGGUAUGCCUAUGCACCAAUCAUCUGUUUCUUCAUAAACAUAAGUGUGCAUGCUUAUAUAAAACUACGGCUGAACAUUUGUUCUGUUCUUUGUUAAUUGUAUGUGUAUUAAUCUUUUCUUACUUUUGUUGACAAACAUACCUAAUUGAUUAGGUAUGUUUGGAAAUAGCAUUGUGUGACUGCGAUAUGAGACUUGUGUGAUUGAGUCUUAAUCUUCACCGCUCUUCACUCCUUUACUGCACAUUGGCGGAAAUCCAUUUCACCAUGAGAGUGAAAUCCCACUGGCCUUUGAUGGGGAGAACAUCCGCGCCCUCGAGGACGUCCCCAUGGGACUUGGGGCUCUGCUAUGGCUGUAUUUUUAAUUUUCCCUUAAAUUUCCCCAAAAUGUCAGAAAAACACUUAUGUUGUUAAGUUACUGUGUUCUGGGGAGAAGAGAAGUUGGGGUGAAGUUACCAGGGCCGGUCAUAAAGAUGGCAAACUUCCUAACAUAACUAAGUGGAUACGAUAUACACACUGAAGCUGAAAAAUCUGUAUUUAGCAUCAAGUCUACAAUAUUGUUAGUUUACCUAUGAUUCAUUUUUAAUGUAUGUUGUUUUUAUCGUACAUCAUUAUUUUAGAAUUGUUUUAAAUGUCAUGAAAAGCAGUUUACAAAGUAAAUGUAUUAUUUAUUAUGGUCUGACAUGUCUGCAGAAAUGUUGCAGUUUUGUUUCGUAAAUUGUUUUGUAAAUAUUAAUUCACAUUUGUGGUGCCAUUAAACACA